rnacentral:rRNA from 1 species
GACGAACGCUGGCGGCGUGCUUAACACAUGCAAGUCGAACGGAAAGGCCCUGCUUUUGUGGGGUGCUCGAGUGGCGAACGGGUGAGUAACACGUGAGUAACCUGCCCUUGACUUUGGGAUAACUUCAGGAAACUGGGGCUAAUACCGGAUAGGAGCUCCUGCUGCAUGGUGGGGGUUGGAAAGUUUCGGCGGUUGGGGAUGGACUCGCGGCUUAUCAGCUUGUUGGUGGGGUAGUGGCUUACCAAGGCUUUGACGGGUAGCCGGCCUGAGAGGGUGACCGGCCACAUUGGGACUGAGAUACGGCCCUGACUCCUACGGGAGGCAGCAGUGGGGAGUAUUGCACAAUGGGCGGAAGCCUGAUGCAGCAACGCCGCGUGCGGGAUGACGGCCUUCGGGUUGUAAACCGCUUUCGCCUGUGACGAAGCGUGAGUGACGGUAAUGGGUAAAGAAGCACCGGCUAACUACGUG